rnacentral:lncRNA from 1 species
UAAAGGGAAAAGGACAAUAGAGGGAAAUAUCUUGUUCUUUAAAAAUAUAAUGAAAUGUGGUGUAGAUGUGUAAAUAAUGUAUGAAAAUUUAAUUGAUUUAUGAAGGUUUUAUUUACAUGAUUUAAUUUAAANAUGAAAUUUAAUAAUAAUAAGAAGGGAAAAUAUAUAACACAUCCUCCAAAUGAACUAACAGAGUAAGAGCAACAAAUUACGAUGUCACGGGUUGUUGUGUUUGUUUUUUUCAAUUGGGGCAAUAGGGAUGACAGAGAAAAUGUUGGAGUGAGAGAGAUGAAAGAGAAAGGAUUGAGAGAAAUGAGGGAGGUAAGUAAGGGAUUGGGGGUUUCUUUUUUUUUUUAGUUUUGAGAAUAAAAAUUAUUUAAAUAUCCUUGAUUUUAAAACUUAGAAUCCAUGAUAAAUGAGAGUAUUUUUGUCUACUAUAAUCCGAUACACAUUGUUAAAACUUACCAACUGAAAAACAGGCAUGCGUGUUAAC